UACGUAGGCGGAAAAUUAAGUCAGUAGUGAAAUCCUGCAGCUUAACUGUAGAACUGUUAUUGAUACUGGUUUUCUUGAAUAUAGUUGAGGUAGGCGGAAUGUGUAAUGUAGCGGUGAAAUGCUUAGAUAUUACACAGAACACCGAUUGCGAAGGCAGCUCACUAAGCUAUGAUUGACGCUGAGGCACGAAAGCGUGGGGAGCGAACAGGAUUAGAUACCCUGGUAGUCC
rnacentral:rRNA from 1 species